rnacentral:tRNA from 1 species
UCUAAUAUGGCAGAUAAGUGCAAUGGACUUAAGCCCCAUAUAUAAAGAAUUCACUUUUAUUAGAA